AGAGCAGACAACUCCGAAUUCUUCAUCACUUUCACGGUAUUUUUUAUGUCAAGCACUCUCCGGUUUGUGCAGUCAAGUCGAACACUUGCUGUGUUAGCUCCACUAAAGCUUUUUGAAGACAAAACAUCGUUAUAAGAAGCCUGAAGCAGAACCACCAGCAAAUAAAAAAAAACUUUAUCAGUUUGACAACACAUGUGCUGCAAAUCCUCACAACACAACCAAACACAGAAACACGCUGCAAAUCCUCACAACACAACCAAAUAGCACAGAUCACAAAAUAAAUGUUUCAAGGGAACCACAACAAGUGACGACCCCGGGACUGCUUGUUCAGUGCCUAUUCAUCAGUGGUGUUGAUGUGUGUCAAUGACCUGAAAGGUGUGGAGCCGAGGAAUCUGCAAUGACCCAC